UUUGUUUCACUUAUUUGGGAGGCCCCUCCCCCUUUCUCCUCCUCCUUCCUGUCUCUGUCUCUGUCUCUGUCUCUCUCUCUCUCUUUCUCAACACCUAGUUCUUUUACAGACAGAAUCCCCCUUGUAAGUAAUUUGACAACUGCACCAAGUAGGUAGCUGUCAUAACCAGGAGAAAUUAGAAUUCCUGGCGAGCUCUGAUUGAGGAGGGGACUUGGGGUCCAGGUCAGUUGGACUGCUGUUGAGUGGAAAAAUUGUUGAAGGCUGGUGGCAGCAGAUGGGGUCAUUACACAAUUUUCUCUUUUCUCUUGUUGUUGGAAAUUUCCAGAACAAAGAGUUGACGAAUGCAUUUGGCAGGCAGUUUUGGGGAGGUAAUAAAUAGUCAGAAGCGGACAGAUUGUGACUAUGGGAAGCUCACACCUGUGCCACUCAGCUGAGGGCCUGCCCUUGGAGCAGGGAUCCAAAUCCACCAGCCACCUGCAGCUCAGGCCCCUGCCACCUGCCCUGAUGUCAGCCUUACUGAAAUGGGUGAUUGGCACAUCUAGACAACAGAGAAGAUUUUAUCAAUGACCUGACAGCUGGAAAAAUCAUAUCCAGUUCAUUAAGAGUUUAACAGCAUGAUCUGCAUGCACAGGGACGUUCAGAACCUGGCUUCAGAGGCAGAAUGGGUUGCCAACUAUUAGUGGAGGAACCAGACGCUCAUUACCUAAGGAAAGGUUUGAAGGUUACACUCCCUUCUUUUCCACAAACAAGUAGCCUUUUAAAAACUCAUUAAAAUAAUAUCUUGUGCAAACAAUAGUCAUCUUCUCCAUCUGUGGUCCCAACAACUAAUGUAUCAUUAGUAGAGCUCUGAUCGCGAUCAAAGUGGGACUUUGAAUGUCAAGAUUUGAGCAUUUUAUCUGUUUACAAGCAAGAAUGACUUGAUUGCCCUUCGGGUACUAUCCCCUUAGCCUUUUGCAUUCUGAUGUUCCUUCCUUGGUGUGAGGAAGACGGGUCGGAUUGGUGUCAUCCCAGGUCAGCCCCAAAGAUUUUGUCCCCAUGAAUAUCUUCCAUCAUUUGUCAAGAAAAAUGCCAGAGGGGAUUAAAAGUUCAGGCUCCCCUCUGGAGGAGGCUCAGAUGGAAUCGGAACACUGAAGAUUGUAUUUCCACGCAGAACAGAAAUACAGGAACAGCAAAAUGGACUCCCUUCAAUCCUCUGAACAGACACCCGGUGGAGACAGCAUGUGUGAGCUGAGGGGGGGAUCGACACUCAGUUCAUAAGCCUUUUCAGGAAAGCAUUGACUCUCAGUGGUGCAUCAAACGCUUGUUUUGUUAAAAGGUAUUGAUAAUGAUAAAUUGGCCUUGGGUAAAAGGUUUAUGGUGAGGGGUGAUUUUAUUGAUUUGGGCCUAGCUGGUCUCUUGGAAAUGCAACAUUAUUUUCAGUAUAUUGAUUGUGUCUAGUUUGGGAAGACUUUGCACUAUGUUUGUCUUAAAUUAUAUUUAAAUAAUUGAUCA